rnacentral:rRNA from 1 species
CCCUAUGGGGUGCUGACAUGCUUGUCGAGGAACUGGCACUCGGCCGGGGUGAGAUCAAAGCGAAGCUCCGCCUCCUGGACGAUGACCUGCCGUUUCUUUUCCGGGUGCUCCUGCAGGGUUUCGGCCAUCCAGGCGAUGGCUUUUUUCAGUUUUGUCGACGUGGUCUGCACGGGGGAUUGCUCACUCAUGGGUUUCCUUGUUUUUCCUUGAUAGCGGUUGCUUGUUCCAGGCGAUGCGAUUAGAGUGUACCUGAAAGGCAACGAGGCGGCAACCCUGUCUUCGGAAGAGUGAUGCUGCCGGCACAAGCGUCUGGACCGUUACUGAAGACGGGCGAAAGCCUAUCCUGGAAGGAGGAGACAACGAGGUCGAUCAUGGAGAGC